UAUAUAUUUCUGUGUAUCAGUUCGGAUGGGGUAAUACUCGAUACCCAAUUAGCACCCAUAUAUAUCUAUAUCUGAACCUAUGUACAUAUCUACGUAUUCUUCCCCCCCCCCCCAUUAAAAUCGAAAAUUAAGAUUGCCAAGAAUCGUGUGUUGAUCAGUUUUUCUCCACUUCCUAUAUCUGCGGGAGAUUUUUUUUUCCUUGAUAAAUUUUGCAAUUCACAAUCUCUCAACCUGGAUUCUCUAAAUUCUUUUCUUCAUCUCCCGGCUCUCCGCUUUCUGAGUUGUCUAAGACUCAUUCAAAGAUGGAUUCUUCACCAUUGCCAAACCAAAAAAAUGAAGAAGCCGAAGAAGAGUUGAUAUUCCUGCUACUAAUCGAGGCAAAAGAAAAGAUGUUCCAGAAGGGAGUGGAGCAACUUCUAAACCACCUAAGCAACCUAAAGAACCAGUUACAAGGUCCCUUGUCUGGAAAUAUUUAGUCUCGUGAAGGACAAAUGCAAGUGUAAUCAUUAUCAAAGAAUAUUGGGAUGUGCAUCAACUUCUGGAACUUCAAACUUGAAGAAACAUCUGGAUUUGAGUUGCAAGCAAUAUAAGGCAUGGGAGCAGAGGCAAUCUCAACAUA